rnacentral:rRNA from 1 species
CGGGGGGGGUAAGCGUUGUUCGGAAUUACUGGGCGUAAAGGGCUCGUAGGCGGCCAACUAAGUCAUACGUGAAAUCCCUCAGCUUAACUGGGGAACUGCGUGUGAUACUGGAUGGCUUGGACUUGGGAGAGGGAUGCGGAAUUCCAGGUGUAGCGGUGAAAUGCGUAGAUAUCUGGAGGAACACCGGUGGCGAAGGCGGCAUCCUGGACCAAUAUUGACGCUGAGGAGCGAAAGCCAGGGGAGCAAACGGGAUUAGAUACCCCGGUAGUCCUGGCCCUAAACGAUGAAUGCUUGGUGUAGCGGGUAUCGAUCCCUGCUGUGCCGAAGCUAACGCAUUAAGCAUUCCGCCUGGGGAGUACGGUCGCAAGGCUG